GUAAAGGCUGGGCUGAGA
rnacentral:miRNA from 1 species